rnacentral:rRNA from 1 species
UACGGAGGGGGCUAGCGUUAUUCGGAAUUAUUGGGCGUAAAGGGCGCGUAGGCGGCCCGGUAAGUCAAAGGUGAAAUCCCUCGGCUCAACUGAGGAACUGCCUUUGAAUCUGUCGGGCUUGAGGCCGGGAGGGGGUAGCGGAAUUCCAGGUGUAGCGGUGAAAUGCGUAGAUAUCUGGAGGAACACCGGUGGCGAAGGCGGCAUCCUGGACCAACACUGACGCUGAGGAGCGAAAGCCAGGGGAGCAAACGGG